rnacentral:rRNA from 1 species
UACAGAGGGGGCAAGCGUUGUUCGGAAUUACUGGGCGUAAAGGGCGCGUAGGCGGCCCGCUAAGUCGAACGUGAAAUCCCCGAGCUCAACUCGGGAACUGCGUCCGAUACUGGCGGGCUUGAAUCCGGGAGAGGGAUGCGGAAUUCCAGGUGUAGCGGUGAAAUGCGUAGAUAUCUGGAGGAACACCGGUGGCGAAGGCGGCAUCCUGGACCGGCAUUGACGCUGGGGCGCGAAAGCUAGGGGAGCAAACGGG